AGUCUUAUAUUCUUUAAAAGAUUUAAAAUUGCAAAUUUUAAGAAAUAAAUAAAAUUUAUUAAGGCUU
rnacentral:tRNA from 1 species